UAGGAAAUAGUAUAUACAUAGUGCGUUUUGUUUACACCAAAGAGGAGAUGGACUCUUUCCUAA
rnacentral:tRNA from 2 species